rnacentral:tRNA from 1 species
GGGGUUGUGGCUCAGUGGUAGAGCGCUCGCCUGACACGCGUGAGGCCCUGGGUUCAAUCCUCAACACCA